UGCCAGCAGCCGCGGUAAUACGGAGGGGGUUAGCGUUGUUCGGAAUCACUGGGCGUAAAGCGUACGUAGGCGGAUUAAUAAGUUAGAGGUGAAAUCCCAGGGCUCAACCCUGGAACUGCCUUUAAAACUGUUAGUCUUGAGAUCGAGAGAGGUGAGUGGAAUUCCAAGUGUAGAGGUGAAAUUCGUAGAUAUUAGGAAGAACAUCAGUGGCGAAGGCGGCUCACUGGUCCGAUACUGACGCUGACGUGCGAAAGCGUGGGGAGCAAACAGGAUUAGAUA
rnacentral:rRNA from 1 species